CCCUUAGAUGUCCUGGGCCGCACGCGCGCUACACUGAGUGUCUGAGAUACGAGUCUGCCUGGUCCGGCAAGGUCUAGGUAAUCGCUAAAAGACACAUCAUGCUUGGGAUAGAUUAUUGCAAAUAUUAAUCUUGAACGAGGAAUUCCUAGUAAGCGCAAGUCAACAGCUUGCGUUGAUUACGUCCCUGCCCUUUGUACACACCGCCCGUCGCUACUACUGAUUGGAUGUUUAAGCGAGGUUCUCGAACUGCUAGCGACUUAGCUUCGGUGAGGUCGCAGUGUGGGAAGUGAACCUAGCUUUGGUGUCUAGAGGAAGUAAAAAUCGUAACA
rnacentral:rRNA from 1 species